CAGGGACUGCCCCUUCUUGCCCGGAGCAUCCCCAGGGUUGGGCAGCAAAGCCCUCCAGUGCUGGUGCCUGAACGGAUCUGGCUGUGAGGAGAGGGAAAGGGAGCUGGAGCUGGGACUCAGAGCUACCCCGGGUAUUCCUGCACACCCUGGGCUCCAGGCACGGGGGAGAGUCACAGCAAGUGCCAGCUGGAUCACCAAACCCAAGGAUUUAAAACAGUAAACAGCCCUAAGCCUACAAACCUGUGGGGGAGGCCCAAAGGGGGCAGGAAGAGCUCUCCCUUCAGCUGGUGUGACCUCACCUGUGACUUUGGGAGCCUUCAUUUCCACUUGGCCAAGGUGAGACAUUUCAAGGCCUUUUUCUUCAGCCAGUCUUGGCUGCAGGACCUUCCCUUUGCCAUCCAGUGUGGCUGAAGGGACUCAGCACAUCCUUAUGAAGCUGAUCAAGCUGGACUUCAAAAAGCAGGAAACCUAGAGCUGUGGUCCAAAUCUGGUCAUUUUUGGCCACUUUUCAUGUCUGGCAGCUCUUAUUUCACUGCUGGCACUGCUCCAGAGGAACACCAUGGUGUUUCAAAGCUUCUUAUUCAUCUAUCAAGAGAAAGAAGAGAAUUACACACAAGUGCCUUUCCUGGGAGAGCCCCAGUCCCUUCCUGCAGUCUGAGGUACAGAAACAUCAGCUCAAAGCACCUGAUCCUCAGGAUGGGGAUGUUUGGGAGGCCUCUGGGAGAAAGUGAAAACCCAUUGUGUGAUGUUGUGGUUGGGACAAGAGAGAUGGUUUGGUUCACUAAUCAUUCAGUGUCAUUGGUUCUUUCUUUCUUUCUUUCUUUCUUUCCUUCUUUCCUUCUUUCUUUCCUUCUUUCAUUCUUUCCUUCUUUCUUUUCUUCUUUCAUUCUUUCUUUCAUUCUUUCAUUCUUUCCUUCUUUCCUUCUUUCUUUCUUUCUUUCCUUCUUUCUUUCCUUCUUUCCUUCUUUCCUUCUUUCUUUCCUUCUUUCUU